rnacentral:lncRNA from 1 species
AAUCAAAGUCUCGAAGCAUAUCUGCUACUGGUUGAGCACUUGAAAUAGUUUAGGGAUAAGUUGAACACUAAUAUAAAAGGGAAGUUGUUUUUCUUCUAUUGAGCGUGAGUUUGUUGGUCCAUUUGGUUAAUUAGGAACAAUGUGUUAUUUUCAGAAGGAAUUCAUAGUUAUUGAAGAUAUUUUGAAUUUGAUGAAGGUUAGAUCGUGUGAAUGGUUUAUUGAUUUUUACAAAAAAUUGUAAUGAACUCCUUUGAGUUGAUUGGUGUAACUUUUCGAACUUUUCUUUGACUUAAUUUGUGUGACGGUCACAUGGAUUACCCCUUAUACUCCAUAUUAAUCAAUCUUUUAAGUAUAACAAAAUUAUUUAGCGUCAUCCUAUCAUUAUUAAUAUUCUUUCAAACUCAUUUGUUCUCUAAUAUUUUGAUAGGAAUUUUUACGCCCUUGUUUUGAUUACACAAUCUUUCAAAACAUAAAUGCAAUUAGGGGAGGUAUGAUCAAUUCUCCAUUUUAAUACAUUUGUCAACAGCUUCGUAUAGCUUCUGAUGAGCUUGCCAUGGAAUCUGAUAAAG